GCGCAACGACUUGGGCGCUGUCUCGACCAUGGACCCGGUGAAAUUGCACUGGUCGUGAAGAUGCGACUUACCCGCGGAAGGACGGAAAGACCCCGUGAACCUUCACUGCAGCUUGGCAUUGGCCGCUGGUCCCGCGUGUAGAGGAUAGGCAGGAGGCGAAGAUCCGGAGGCGCCAGCCCCCGGGGAGCCGCCCUUGGAAUACUGCCCUCGCGCGACCGGCGUCCUAACCCGAGGCCGUCAACCGGCUCGGGGACCGUGCCAGGCGGGCAGUUUGACUGGGGCGGUCGCCUCCUAAAGGGUAACGGAGGCGCGCGAAGGUCCGCUCGGGACGGUCGGCAACCGUCCUUUUGAAUGCAAGAGUACAAGCGGGCUUGACUGCGAGGCCCACAAGCCGAGCAGGUGCGAAAGCAGGCUCUAGUGAUCCGGCGGCCCCGAGUGGGUGGGCCGUCGCUCAACGGAUAAAAGGUACUCCGGGGAUAACAGGCUGAUCUUGCCCAAGAGUCCACAUCGACGGCAAGGUUUGGCACCUCGAUGUCGGCUCAUCGCAUCCUGGGGCUGGAGCAGGUCCCAAGGGUACGGCUGUUCGCCGUUUAAAGCGGUACGCGAGCUGGGUUCAGAACGUCGUGAGACAGUUCGGUCCCUAUCCUCCGUGGGCGCAGGAGAAUCGAUGGAGGCUGCCCCCAGUACGAGAGGACCGGGGUGGACGCACCUCCGGUGAACCGGUUGUCGACCAACGGCACGGCCGGGUAGCCGCGUGCGGCGCGGAUAACCGCUGAAGGCAUCUAAGCGGGAAGCCGUUCCAGGGAUUAGUUCUCCUUCCGGUAAGGGCCCAGGUAGACUACCUGGUCGAUAGACGGCAGGUGCAAGGACGGCGACGUCCUCAGCCGAGCCGCACUAAUCGCCCGAGCUCUUCCGGAA
rnacentral:rRNA from 1 species